AAGAAGUUGAUAAAAACAUAUAACACAAACAAAACAUAUAAAAUAUUUAAAAUAAUUAGGAAAAUAUGAUUUAAUUGAAAGCAGUCUGAAAAAUGUUUAAAUAAGAUUUAACACAAUAAAAACAUGAAAAAUUAAAAAUCUACGUAUGUUGAUAAAGAUGUCAGAAAAAUGUUUACAAAUUUCUGAAAAUUAAAAAUUUCACAAAAGUUGUCUUAGUCUAAGAAUAUAUUUUCCUCAAAUCUUGAAAGUCCAUAAUAAUUUAUCACACAAUCAAAAUCUUCAAGGGCAUUCCUAUAGACUACACCUAUUCGAUCCAAAACAUAGUUAUCUAAUAAGGGACAUGACGAGUGCCUACUGGGCCUCUACCUGAACUUCAUUAACUCAGACAAACAUAGUUCACUCGAUCAAGGAUCUCUGCUAAUUUCCUUGUCCUCAAACACCUAUUGCAUCAAUGAUAAUAUAUUUUAUAAUUUAAAAGAUACAGUCAACAAAGAAAAAAUACUCUUAACAUGUCUCCUUAGUUUUGAUGUAAUGCAUUACUUAGCUUUUAAGGAAUGAACAUUUUGAUUUUUUUAAAAAUAGAUGUAAUUGAAAUAAAGUUUACAAAAGGUAGAAUAUGAUGAUUAGGAAUACUUGUUAAUUGGCUAAAAUAUGUUAAUUGUUGCCAUUUAGUGUGUUUUCAUUAAGAAUUAAUUAUAAAAAAUAUAGUUAUCAUUUAAUAAAUAUAAGGCAUUGUUAGAGAUUACAUUUUAGAGGAAGGGAGAUGCAUAGUUGAAAAGGUCAUUUUAUAAAUAUAAAGCAGUAUUAGAGCUCAAAUUUUAGCGGAAGAGAAGCAUAGUUGAAAUUUGAAAAGAUCUACCAAGUUUUCUUUCUAGUCUAAAAUAUCACAUUCUAAAUAAAGACCUUAAUGAUGUUUGAUGAUGUCUAUAAUCUAUUGUUUGGACUCUGGAUUAUAGUAUCUCUUUCUCUUUCAUUCAAAUUUGUUAAUGAUAAAAAAUGACUAACAACUUGUUUGUAUACCAGGCGAAACAUGUUGGUAUACUAUCUUAUAUACCAGUACCAUACUAUGAUAUUUUAUUGAAACCGAUAUCGGACUGAGAUUGAAAAUAUUAUUUUUUGGUGUGUAUUUUGUUUAUUUCAAUUUGUUUACAAGAGUAGUUCUGAUUCAUUUUUAUGGGCAUUAACUUUAUUUCUGGUAACAUGUGGAAUUUUACUGCAAGACAACUACGUAGUUUGCCAACAUGGCAACCAAUUUUAGUUACUAAGAAUUUUAGUUAAAAGCAAGGGCUUUUCAAUUUUAGUUAUUUUGGGUUACAUGAAUGAACAAAUAGUGUACCUUUUUUUCCCAAAAGUAGACAAAUUUAAACAUGCAAGAUGAUAUGCUAUACAUUGUUUGUAAAAAAUGAACUAACAAAAUGAAAGAAUGCAGGAAGAACUCGCAAGACUCUGAACGUUUACAUCUUUGGGCAAUGUAUCAUUCGAACCAGAAGCUCAGCUUAAACACAUAUUUUACCUUCAUUUGAAUUAGUGAAUUGGUCCCCCCUCUCUCACUUUGUUAAGCCUUCUGAAUUUUUUUAAUGAAAUAUUGCAAACUUGUUUGAAGAGUUCAAUUAUUCUAAGAAUUACUUCAAUGCAUUUCUAAUUUUAGUAAGAUGUGUCAUAAUUUUAGAAAGCAGUUAUUCAACCUAAGAAGAACUGUAAACCAUAGUAUAUAUCAUAAUAGUAAAGAGAUACCAAACAAAUAAAUCUAUGAGCUUGAUAAAGGUGAGGCAUUGUAAUUCUGUUUAUUAUGUUUUUCCCUAUGAAAUGAAUAAAAAUAUCAAAUUUACAUGUCUUUCCAUGAAUAGACUAGGUCUUCUGCAACAUAGAUACACUUCUGAUCCUAAGAUAGGGCGAGAAAAAUGGUGCCAAAUGGGAUAUAAUGUAGGUUCUAAAUUUUGGAAGUUAACUUACUAGAUCAAUAGUUCACAAAUGCUUCAUUAUGGUGAUAGUGGAGUAGUUCGGGUCCUUCCGAUUAGCAGGAUCUUCAUUGAAUCUGAAGGUUCUGAUUUGUGAUUGUUUCAGUCUAUAGGAUUUAUCUUGUUGAAUCAGUUGUCGCUGUAGAAGAGUAGUAGCAAUGUUCAUGAGCUUGAUAGACAAGCUUGUUAUGUUUCAUAUAAAUGUUCACCAAUUAAUUACAUGGCUACUAUUUCAGUAUUUUUUCAAUUCUGCUAUUGUGGUCAUUUACCACAAGUUUCAGCAUCCAAGCACUAUAUCUGAAAUUUGCCUUUUGUAAGUAUAACACCGACCUUUGAGUUGGUAUUUCUUGUUUCCAACUUCCCUAUUUGUUUACUGAGAUUAAGGUAGCAGCAGCGGUUGUGAUUAUUUAUUGUAAUUCCAGUAAUAUCACAUGUGGUACCAAGUUUGAAUUUGACAUGAUAAUUCCGAUUGAAUUAUUUAAGUCAUCAUUUUUUUAAUAAUAUAUUGAUGAUUUUGUUGGAUGUAAUGGAGAAACAAAAUGAAUAUUGGGUAAGUAUUUGAAGUCUCCAUCACCAAAGUUACCAUCCCUUCCAACACCUCUACCUCUGUGCCUCUUGCCAUCGUCAUGUACAUCUUGUAAACUAUCAUUGGCCUUAUGGACAAGGCUAAUGCGGUGGAGAUUGAUGAUCCUCAGGAAACUCUAGAGCUUGAUCAAGACAAACAAGAAGCUCAUGGCCAAUGGUGCGUGCAUCCUUUGCAAGAAGGGGAUGGUGCAUAUACAACCUUCUUUUUCUCUUGAUUAGUGGUUAUUGGUGUUUGAAUUGUAAAACUAGAAAUCAGUUUUAUGUUGUGAAAUUAUGCAUCGAAGAACAAGAGAAUGAAUGUCUGACAAAUUACCAAUGAGAUCAUCUAGUAUUUUUUUUAUUAAUGCACAUAUGCUUAGCUCACCCUUGUUAUCCAGAAUAAUAGUUAUUCAUAUUGGUCAGAUUUUUUUUGUUUCCCUCGUGUUUCAAAUGGUUUGAAUAUUUCGUGCUUGACGUGGAGCCAUCCAGAAAAGAUCCAUCUACUAGGUGUUUGUUAGUAUUUGACUUGAAGCCUCCCACUUUGGAUAAAAAUUUGAGAGAAUUUGUACAUGAAUGAACAACCAGUGUACUUUUUUUUCCCAAAAGUGGACAAAUUUAUAUAUCCAAGCUGAUAUGCUAGAUAUUAUUUGUCAAAAAUGAACUAACAAAAUGAAAGAAUGUAGGAAGAACUCAUAAGAUUCUGAACGUUUACAUCUUGGGGCAAUGUAUCAUUCGAACCAUAAGCUCAGCUUAAACACACACUUUACCUUCAUUUGAAUUAGUGAAUUGGGGCAAUGAAAUAUUGUAAAUUGUUUUGAAGAGUUCAAUUAUUUCAAGAAUUACUUCAAUGCAUUUUAGUGGUAUACUAAGUGAACUGAUUUUGCAAAAAAUUUAGAAGUCAUAUGUUAUUUUUUUGUUGAGCCUGCAUAUGGAUUGUAAAAAGGAAUAUGGACACCAUUUUUAAAUUCCAGCAUAUUUUUUCCCUUUUUUUCCCCUUUCCCCUCACAAAUUUACAGCCUUAGCUUGUUAAGGGUCUCUCAUAACUCUCAAUUUUAUAGCAAAUAUCUACUAUUAGUCAUAGCAGACAUCUGUUAGCAAUAUUACAACAAAUGUCUACUAUUAUCAUAACUAUCAAUAUUUUCAGCUUCAUACAAUGAGAGUUUGCCUAACAUCACUAUGAUUAUAGAUUAAAUUGCCAGCAAAUUGCUUCAUGCUUAAAGAUAUUUCACCUGCAACAACUUUCUCAUAGACUGCCAUUUGUUAUGCUUCAGUCAUAUUGUGAGGCUUUCCUUUCAUUCAUGUUAUGAUCGAGGCACAUAUCUUGUUUUUUCAUUUAGGGACAAAGAGACUUAGAGCAUUGAUUCAUCACUUAUUGGAAUUUGAGAAUUAGGUUCAAGUAUUCUAUUUUUGGUUGAAU
rnacentral:lncRNA from 1 species